rnacentral:rRNA from 1 species
UACGAACCGAGCGAACGUUAUUCGGAAUCACUGGGCUUAAAGGGCGCGUAGGCGGCUUGCCAAGUCAGGGGUGAAAUCUUUCGGCUCAACCGGAAAAGUGCUUCUGAUACUGGCGGGCUGGAGGGAGGUAGGGGCAGAUGGAACUUCCGGUGGAGCGGUGAAAUGCGUAGAUAUCGGAAGGAACGCCGGUGGCGAAAGCGAUCUGCUGGACCUCUUCUGACGCUGAGGAGCGAAAGCCAGGGGAGCAAACGGG